rnacentral:misc_RNA from 1 species
AAGUCGUAACAAGGUUUCCGUAGGUGAACCUGCGGAAGGAUCAUUAACAAAUUCAAAACACCUGUGUUUCUAUAACUGCUGCUAUUUCUGGUAGUCCUUGAAAAAGAGCCUACUGGAGGUUUUGGUGGUUAUAGAGGUCACAAAAACAUACACUUUGAUUGACAACACCUAGUGAUCUAGAUAUUAAUUGUAGACAACUUUUAACAAUGGAUCUCUUGGCUCUU